rnacentral:rRNA from 1 species
UACGAAGGGUGCAAGCGUUACUCGGAAUUACUGGGCGUAAAGCGUGCGUAGGUGGUGCGUUAAGUCUGUCGUGAAAGCCCCGGGCUCAACCUGGGAAUGGCGAUGGAUACUGGCGCGCUAGAGUGCGGUAGAGGAGAGUGGAAUUCCUGGUGUAGCGGUGAAAUGCGCAGAUAUCAGGAGGAACACCGAUGGCGAAGGCAGCUCGCUGGGACGGUACUGACGCUGAGGCGCGAAAGCGUGGGGAGCAAACAGG